GGGCACUUACACCAUGCCUGAAGGUACACAGAGACCAUGCUUCUAUCCUGAUUUUGAGGGAUUCUCAGAGCACAUUUUAGAGAAGAAUGGCUGACACUCAGUUCAUUCAACCAAGUGGCCCCUGAACAAAACUUGGUUGCCAUGACUCCAGACAAGCACUGUCAGGAUUGGUGCUUCAAAACAGCGAGGGACAGAAAGCCAAGAGCACCAGGAUCCUACACAGCCUAACCCUAGAGAGGCCGCUCGUCAGCAUUUCAUACUGUUUUCAUUAAAACAAGACAUGAUGUGUGUUACGGUCAGCCUGCCGGGGAGUGUGGACAGCAAGAGGUUGAGAAGCUUGGGAACUGUAUCAAAGUGCCCACCACAAAGAUGAGAAAAGAGCUCCACCUGUCAAUGCAUCUAUAAAUCUCUAUUGAAAAUGCAAAGACAAGAAGCAGCUGAGAGCUAUGGAGACAGAGGGACAGGAAGCCUCCAGAGGUUCCUGUGGCUCCAUGGCCCCUAG
rnacentral:lncRNA from 1 species